UCAACGCCUUUCUUCCAAGAUACCCUCCUCCCCCUCCUCCUAUUAUAUCUCUCCUUUCUUCCACUCCCACACUCUCUCGCUCUCUUCUCUCUACUAAAAGAUUCUCAACCAUGGAUGGUUCUAAAGCUAGCCCAACGAAGGAGUUGGCCCUGGGAAUAGAUGAAACAACUGAGGAAGAAUAUGCUUCACAGUCUAGGUUACUUCAAGAAUUCACUAAUAUAGCCAGCAUUGACAAGGCAUGGAUAAUACCUGGCAGUGGAAAUGGCUCCCAGGCAAUGUUCUCGUUUAGUCAACCAAACGUUAUGGCAAACAAGAGCAGGAAAUUUAUUCUAUCAUCUCAUAUCUCGAAAGAAAGUAGCAAAUUGGUGAACUUCCAAUGGGGCCCAUUUCCUAUUGAGAUGACGGGAGUCUCUGUAAUUGUACCAUCACCAUCAAGUGCAAAGCUUCUUGUAGUUCGUAAUCCUGAAAAAGACUCUCCCUGUCAAUUCGAAAUUUGGGGUCCAGCUCAAGUAGAAAAGGAAUUCCAUAUUCCCCCAACUGUUCAUGGCUCAGUAUAUACUGAUGGCUGGUUUCAGGGAAUUUCUUGGAACUCUGAUGAAACUCUCAUCGCUUAUGUUGCUGAGGAGCCAUCUCCCUCCAAGCCUACAUUUACAUUUCAGGGCUAUAAGAAAGGUAGUUCCACUGAUAAGGAAUUUGGCAACUGGAAAGGCCAAGGGGAGUGGGAGGAGGAAUGGGGGGAAACCUAUGCUGGAAAAAGGCAACCUGCACUCUUUGUCAUAAAUGUUAACAGUGGAGAGACACGAGCUGUUAAAGGAAUCGAAAAGCGUUUGAGUGUUGGCCAAGUUGUUUGGGCCCCACCAAUUAGUGGAUCCCAUCAAUAUUUGGUUUUUGUUGGGUGGUCAGCAGAUACCAGAAAGCUAGGUAUGGUGUAUUGUUAUAACAGACCCUGUGCUUUGUAUGCAGUUAAGGCACCACUUUAUGGAUCAGAAGCUGAUGGACAAGAAAUCAAAGAUAAUUCAACUGAAGAUUGUCCUCUGGUAAAUCUAACACAAAGCAUUAGUAGCGCUUUCUUUCCAAGAUUCAGCCCAGAUGGCAAAUUGCUUUUGUUUUUAUCAGCAAGAAGUUCUGUGGAUUCCGGGGCACAUUCUGCUACAGAUUCUCUUCACAAAAUUGAUUGGCCAGUGGAUGGAGUGCCAUGCUCAUCUAUGGAAGUUGUUGAUGUGAUUCCUGUUGUUAUGUGUGCGGAUGAUGGUUGCUUCCCUCGGCUUUACUGUUUUCCUCACAGACCCAUGACUUUCUGAUGGAUGCACGAUGAUUAUGUCUUCCUUCUGGGGCAGCUGUCAAGUGAUACUAUCUGUGAAUGUGUUAAGCAGAGAAGUAUCACGCAUCAGCCCCACUGCUUCAAAUUCAUGGAAUGUUCUUUCAUUGGAUGGGGACAAUAUUGUUGCUGUGUCCAGCAGUCCAGUACAUGUGCCUCACAUCAAGUAUGGUUUUCUUGAUAAAGAAAGGAAAAGUACUGCAUGGAAUUGGUUAAAUGUACCGAGCCCCACAAUUGAAUGCUUUGGAAAGGUAUCAAUUCGCUUUAAAUCAUUGCUCUCAUCUCUACAGUUCAGUAUAAUAAAAUUCCUGUCAAGGAUGUUUCUGAUAGCCUAACGAAAGGUGCUGGAAAACCUUUUGAAGCUAUUUUUGUAAUCCUUAAUUGUAAUCCUUCACGGUGGCCCACAUUCUGUUUAUUUGACAAGCUUUUCAAAGAACCUGGCAUUUCUAUCUUCAAUUGGGUUCAACUUGCUACUUGUAAAUUAUCGAGGUUCAGUGGGCUUUGGUGAGGAAGCACUUCAAUCACUUCCGGGGAAAGUUGGCUCCCGGUUUCUAAUCUCUUUGUUUAAUGAUGUACUGGUGGCUAUAGAUCAUGUGAUGGACUUGGGGCUUGCUAGUCCAUCAAAAAUUGCAGUUCUUGGUGGCUUUUUAACAACACACUUGAUUGGCCAGGUGUGUAGCCCAGAGAAGUUUGCUGCCGCUUGUGCAAGGAAUCCUGUAUGUAACCUUGCACUGAUGGUUAGUACAACAGACAUCCCUGUUUGGUGCUAUGUGGAGGCAUAUGGAAGUGAAGGUAAAAAUAUCUACUCAAAACUCAAAAGCACCUUCAGCUGAGGAUCUGGCUCUUUUUCACAGCAAGUCUCCUAAUUUCACAUAUUUCGAAGGUCAAAACACCCACCCUUUUUCUUCUGGGUGCUCAGGAUCUUCGCGUUCCGAUUUCCACUGGAUUGCAAGUAAUCUAUUGUCGAGCAUUAAAGGACAAAGGAGUUGUUGUCAAAGUCGUUAUGUUCCCUAAUGGCAUCCAUCCAAUUGACAGGCCUCAAUCCGACUUUGAGAGCUUUCUUAAUAUCGGUGUGUGGUUUAAGAAAUAUUUGUUCUAG